AAGAGCUUGCUCUUCGAUUCAGCGGCGGACGGGUGAGUAAUGCCUAGGAAUCUGCCUGGUAGUGGGGGACAACGUUUCGAAAGGAACGCUAAUACCGCAUACGUCCUACGGGAGAAAGCAGGGGACCUUCGGGCCUUGCGCUAUCAGAUGAGCCUAGGUCGGAUUAGCUAGUUGGUGAGGUAAUGGCUCACCAAGGCGACGAUCCGUAACUGGUCUGAGAGGAUGACCAGUCACACUGGAACUGAGACACGGUCCAGACUCCUACGGGAGGCAGCAGUGGGGAAUAUUGGACAAUGGGCGAAAGCCUGAUCCAGCCAUGCCGCGUGUGUGAAGAAGGUCUUCGGAUUGUAAAGCACUUUAAGUUGGGAGGAAGGGCAUUAACCUAAUACGUUAGUGUUUUGACGUUACCGACAGAAUAAGCACCGGCUAACUCUGUGCCAGCAGCCGCGGUAAUACAGAGGGUGCAGGCGUUAAUCGGAAUUACUGGGCGUAAAGCGCGCGUAGGUGGUUUGUUAAGUUGGAUGUGAAAGCCCCGGGCUCAACCUGGGAACUGCAUCCAAAACUGGCAAGCUAGAGUACGGUAGAGGGUGGUGGAAUUUCCUGUGUAGCGGUGAAAUGCGUAGAUAUAGGAAGGAACACCAGUGGCGAAGGCGACCACC
rnacentral:rRNA from 1 species